AAAUUGAAGAGUUUGAUCAUGGCUCAGAUUGAACGCUGGCGGCAGGCCUAACACAUGCAAGUCGAACGGUAACAGGAAGCAGCUUGCUGCUUUGCUGACGAGUGGCGGACGGGUGAGUAAUGUCUGGGAAACUGCCUGAUGGAGGGGGAUAACUACUGGAAACGGUAGCUAAUACCGCAUACCGUCACAAGAC
rnacentral:rRNA from 1 species